UAUAUAUUUAUCUUAGGCAGUUCUAAAUUUCAGAUUUAUUGUCCUUUAUUUUUCCCACCAAUAAAAAGAGUGUGCUUUGAGUCCUUUUUAAAAACUGAUCUUUUUCUUAUGAAAACCCUAAAUAAUUUUACAAGGAUAAUAAUAACUAUGGAGAACUAGAAGCAUUCUUGAACUUUCUUGGGUAUCAAAUUUAUAAAUUAAAGACUAAGAUAAUCUCAACAACCUAACUAAAAGAACAAAUGUAUGAAAGGUCCAGAACAGAGAAGCUAUAACUUAGGAUGACACAAAUAAACACUGCUCUGGUUAACACUAAAUUCAAUAAUAAUAGAAAUAUAGAAUGUGGAACAAAGAAACAAAGUUCUAAUUAUGAAUUAAUUAAGGAAUGCAGGUUAGACUUCUAGUCCUUUAAAUAAAGGGCCAUAGACAGAAAGCCUACUCCCAGAAGGACAAGACCCUGGCAUCUCAUUUCUUUCUGAAUUCAAGAAACUAUUAACAUUAUAUGAAGAAAAUGAAAUCUAUGUAUACCACUAUCACUACCUAACAGGUAGCCUGUGAUUCGCCAAGAAACGAAGAGGUAACACUCAGUCAACUUUCUGGUACUGAGUAGUGAAACUGGACUGGGAAUGAGAUUUGUUCCUGGAGGCCCUCGGCCACUGAGGUACACAGGACAGAGGACAUCCUCAAGUUCUCAUCUACUGCUCUCGCAUUCAAUUUCCACCCUAAGCUGCACAAUCUAUUCUGAACAGAGGGCAACAGAGCCGCAUUAGGAUAUCAGCAUCGACCAAAGGAGAUGGCGACCUGAUGGGCUGAAAAAGUUGACUUCAUGCACUCUCAGAGCUCAAGAAAUGAACUCCCUCUGGCUAUGACCCUGGCUCCAUCAAGGAACUGCUUUCCUUUUCCAUCAAGACUGAUACAUCUACACUAAACAAAGCUGGCAACAACAUCAAGAAAAUCUCUCCUCGCAAGCAUGACGAUAAGGGACCCCUGUCUGGUGAGGAUCCCAGCAUGGCUGGCUGUUGUUCCUAUGUUACAGCGUGCCACACACACCCAACCUCUCAAGAGGUCCAGAUGGCGGGUCAAGUAACUGAAGUGACUUCUGGGUUUCCACUCUGAGUAACUGAAAGAAGGCAUACAAAUCAAUAUUUAUUCACCCGUGUUCAUGGCAGCACUACUCACAAUCAUCAAAACCCAAGGGCCUUUCAAGGGAUGAAUGGAUAAACAAAAUGUGGUACAUACUUGAAAUGGAUUAUUGCUCACUUUUCCAAAGGUUUACCCAAGGAAAAUACACAUAAAAAGGGAAAUAUUCUAAGAUCCAAGGAAUAACAGAGCAUGCAGUAGCAGUACAACCUAAGAAAGAAUGGUUGUUGUUCAUCAGGAGAAAGAACUAUCAUGUAAGAAUAAGGGAGGGGAGAUAAACAGAGACAGACACACACACACAUGGACCUUGAUGAUAGACUGCAUACAAGACCCUGCUGCUCAGAUAAAGAAAACAGAACUUGGCAGUGAGGAAACUGUAGGCACAACAGUUCUACUGUAAUAUUGUAGGAAGAAUUCAGAUUAAACA